rnacentral:rRNA from 1 species
GACGAACGCUGGCGGCGUGCUUAACACAUGCAAGUCGAACGGAAAGGCCCUGCUUUUGUGGGGUGCUCGAGUGGCGAACGGGUGAGUAACACGUGAGUAACCUGCCCUUGACUUUGGGAUAACUUCAGGAAACUGGGGCUAAUACCGGAUAGGAUCUCCUGCUGCAUGGUGGGGGUUGGAAAGUUUCGGCGGUUGGGGAUGGACUCGCGGCUUAUCAGCUUGUUGGUGGGGUAGUGGCUUACCAAGGCUUUGACGGGUAGCCGGCCUGAGAGGGUGACCGGCGACAUUGGGACUGAGAUACGGCGCAGACUCCUACGGGAGGCAGCAGUGGGGAAUAUUGCACAAUGGGCGGAAGCCUGAUGCAGCAAAGCGGCGUGCGGGAUGACGGCCUUCGGGUUGUAAAAAGAUUUCGAAUGUGACGAAGCGGGAGUGACGGUAAUGGGUAAAGAAGCACCGGCUAACUACGUG